UACGGAGGGUGCGAGCGUUGUCCGGAAUCACUGGGCGUAAAGGGCGCGUAGGUGGCGCGACAAGUCAACGGUGAAAGCCCGGGGCUCAACCCCGGGUCGGCCGUCGAUACUGUUGGGCUUGAGCACUGUAGAGGCAGGUGGAAUUCCGGGUGUAGCGGUGGAAUGCGUAGAGAUCCGGAAGAACACCGGUGGCGAAGGCGGCCUGCUGGGCAGUAGCUGACACUGAUGCGCGACAGCGUGGGGAGCGAACAGG
rnacentral:rRNA from 1 species